GUACAUGUACUCAUGCAAUGAGUCUUCAGUGUCAAUUUCAUUUAAAGAAAAUGGCUUAUAGUACUUGAGCUCAAUAGGGCAGUAUACUUCAUAAUAAGCUUCAAAACCAGGACUGACUGAGAAUGCAAACAUCUCCAUCUUGAAAAUAUGUAACAAAUAGACAACGCAACAAAGUUCGGAUUUUACUCUCAUUUACUUGUCCACACUAAAUAUUUGUACAAAACAGUUUGGUGAGAGCCAAUGAAUGAACAACUGAACAGUGAAUGGCCUUUGCUAAA